CCCUACGGGGUGCAGCAGGCGCGAACACUUUACAAUGCGGGAAACCGCGAUAAGGGAACCCCGAGUGCCAGCAUCAAAUGUUGGCUGUCCAGAUGGUUAAAAAUCAUUUGUUAGCAAGGGCCGGGCAAGACCGGUGCCAGCCGCCGCGGUAACACCGGCGGCCCGAGUGGUAGCCGUUUUUAUUGGGUCUAAAGGGUCCGUAGCCGGCCUGAUAAGUCCUUUGGGAAAUCUGACAGCUUAACUGUCAGGCUUCUAAGGGAUACUGUCAGGCUUGGGACCGGAAGAGGUAAGGGGUACUCCAGGGGUAGGAGUGAAAUCUUGUAAUCCCUGGGGGACCAUCUGUGGCGAAGGCGCCUUACCAGAACGGGUCCGACGGUGAGGGACGAAAGCUAGGGGAGCAAACCGGAUUAGAUACCCGGGUAGUCCUAGCUGUAAACGAUGCUCGCUAGGUGUCAGACACGGUGCGACCGUGUUUGGUGCCGCAGGGAAGCCGUUAAGCGAGCCACCUGGGAAGUACGGUCGCAAGGCUGAAACUUAAAGGAAUUGGCGGGGGAGCAC
rnacentral:rRNA from 1 species